AGGUGACUCCUAAGCUUUGAAGUACGGAGUUUACCGUGUGUGAUUCACUUGAAGCUUUUAAGCAAAAGUGAAGUGUUGUCUUGGCAAGUUGUCGCCACAUCAUUCUUAACAUUGUUUAAACAACACAGGUUGUGUUGUGUGAGUGGAAGUGAGAUGGGAUCUCAUGUCUAGGAGUUCCUAGGCAGAAGUUGCAAGAGUAGUGUCGAGGUUAUAAGACGUAAACCAUGGGUUUGCUGGAGGUCUUAGUUUAAGGCGUAAAUCCUAGGGUUUGCUGGAGGUCUUAGUAACUAGAGCUAUUAGUGGAUUUCCUUCCUG
rnacentral:lncRNA from 1 species